rnacentral:rRNA from 1 species
UACGGGGGGGGCAAGCGUUGUUCGGAAUUACUGGGCGUAAAGGGUUUGUAGGUGGCUUGCUAAGUCGGACGUGAAAUCCCUCAGCUUAACUGGGGAACUGCGUCUGAUACUGGCGAGCUUGAGUGCAGGAGAGGAACGCGGAAUUCCAGGUGUAGCGGUGAAAUGCGUAGAUAUCUGGAGGAACACCGGUGGCGAAGGCGGCGUUCUGGACUGUAACUGACACUGAGAAACGAAAGCCAGGGUAGCAAACGGG